rnacentral:rRNA from 1 species
GACGAACGCUGGCGGCGUGCUUAACACAUGCAAGUCGAACGGUAAGGCCCUUCGGGGUACACGAGUGGCGAACGGGUGAGUAACACGUGGGUGAUCUGCCCUGCACUUCGGGAUAAGCCUGGGAAACUGGGUCUAAUACCGGAUAGGACCACUGCCUGCAUGGGUGGUGGUGGAAAGCUUUUGCGGUGUGGGAUGGGCCCGCGGCCUAUCAGCUUGUUGGUGGGGUGAUGGCCUACCAAGGCGACGACGGGUAGCCGGCCUGAGAGGGUGACCGGCCAUACUGGGACUGAGAUACGGCCCAGACUCCUACGGGAGGCAGCAGUGGGGAAUAUUGCACAAUGGGCGCAAGCCCGAUGCAGCGACGCCGCGUGAGGGAUGACGGCCUUCGGGUUGUAAACCUCUUUCAGCACAGACGAAGCGCAAGUGACGGUAGGUGCAGAAGAAGGACCGGCCAACUACGUGCCAGCAGCCGCCGUAAUAC